AUUACUAUUACCGUUACUAUUUCAGUCUAGUUACUAUAAUCAGGUGUGACGAAAGCAUCUUGUAACUUAUUAGACUUAACGAGGUAAUUAUAGAACUACAUAUAUUUAACGAGGUAAUAAACAAUCAAGCGAGUAUGUCUUUAAUGUGAAAGCAAUAUAAUUAGUGUAACGGCCCCUGCUGUUUCCCUUAAUAAAAGAUAGUGUUAAUUAAUGGUGUUAUAAUAAGUUCAUUUCUAUAAAUCAUUCCUACCUGUUGGUUUGGGGACAUGGCGGCGGACAGCGUGAAGCUUCGGGGAUUCAUGAACCACCCAAGUACCUGCUUCACUAACCUCCACCAAUCACAGCGUUCCAGGCAGGGGUAAACUUCCGCCAUUACAAUAGUGCAGACGUGGCGGCGGUCACAGGUGGCUGCUCGGGGCACGCUUGCAGCCAUUGAGAUUUAAUAUAUACAGUGAUGCUCAUCUGGGCCUCUAAGCAUCAUUUUGAACAGAUGGGCCCCCUACGCAAAAGGAUGUCUGAUGUUUUCUGAGAUCCCCAAAAUAUUCAUGCCAUGGUGACCUGGGAACUUGAAGUCAAUGAAAAAAGAAA